rnacentral:tRNA from 1 species
GGGCGGCUUCGCGCAGGGAGCGGUCCGGCGGUUUCCGGCCGCCGGACCACCGGAUCGGGCCGGGUUCCGCCGG